ACCUGGUUGAUCCUGCCAGUAGUCAUAUGCUUGUCUCAAAGUUUAAGCCAUGCAUGUCUAAGUAUAAGUUCUUUAUUGCGAAACUGUGAAUGGCUCAUUAUAACAGUUAUCAUCUUCUAGUCAGUCAGUAUUCCCUUGGACACCAAUGGUAAUUCUAGAGCUAAUACAUGCUUUCAAAUCCAACUUCAUGAAGGAUUGCGCUUAUUAGAUAUCGAACCAACCCAGAUUUGACCUGGUAAUCGUUGAUUCAUAGUGGUCUGGCGAAUCGACUCGCAAGAGACGAUAAGGCUACCAAGUUUCUGACCUAUCAGCUUCCGACGGUAGGAUAUGGGCCUACCGUGGCUGUGACGGGUAACGGAGAAUUCGGGUUCGAUUCCGGAGAGGGAGCCUGAGAAACGGCUACCACAUCUAAGGAAGGCAGCAGGCGCGUAAAUUACCCAAUCCUGACACAGGGAGGUAGUGACAAGAAAUAUCAAUAUAAGAUUUUUUGUCUUGUAAUUGGGAUGAGCGAAAUGUAAAUCGCUUCUCGAGUAUCAAUUGGAGGGCAAGUCUGGU
rnacentral:rRNA from 1 species